CCCCUCAUUAGGUAUAUGUAUACCUCCUUUUCAACUCUCCUCCUUCCUUCCGGUAGAAAGUUUGCCGGAAUAGUAAACCAGAAGAUCUUUCCGAUCUCAGUUUUCCGGUGGCUUUUUUACCAUUCGUGUAUUUUUGUUUGUAAAAAAAGUGGGAUAGAGGGAAAGGGAGACAAGGUUCGGGGAAGGUGCUAGAAUAGGUGGCUUGGAACAAAAGAAUCAUUGGUUAAUUUAUUAUUAUUAUUUGUUCCGAGACCACCUAUUCCAACAUUUUCCUUUGACUAUCUCCCCAUCCCUUUUUAUCCUAAGACAACUGCGGCUGCUGCUUUGUUUUGUUUAAGAAGAAAACGGUGAUCCAUUUUAUUUUAUAAUUUUAUAAUUUUAUUCUUUCACAAAUCACCAGAUCUUGAAACCGUUUUUGAUUGCUUUGCAGGUUUUAUGAAAGUUAUCUGCGUAAAUAUCAAGUGUGAUGAUAGAUCCUAAAGCAGUGAACACCGGGACGUUUUAGGCCGUCAGACUUGAUUUGUUCAGAUUCCGGCUGAGCUCCGGCAGAUCUUUUCCGGCCGAAUUAUAUGAACCAUAUGUUGAAUGUUAAAGAUUAAUAAAAUAAUGUUUUUGUUUUUA